CUGGCGGCGUGCCUAAUACAUGCAAGUCGAACGAACUCUGGUAUUGAUUGGUGCUUGCAUCAUGAUUUACAUUUGAGUGAGUGGCGAACUGGUGAGUAACACGUGGGAAACCUGCCCAGAAGCGGGGGAUAACACCUGGAAACAGAUGCUAAUACCGCAUAACAACUUGGACCGCAUGGUCCGAGUUUGAAAGAUGGCUUCGGCUAUCACUUUUGGAUGGUCCCGCGGCGUAUUAGCUAGAUGGUGGGGUAACGGCUCACCAUGGCAAUGAUACGUAGCCGACCUGAGAGGGUAAUCGGCCACAUUGGGACUGAGACACGGCCCAAACUCCUACGGGAGGCAGCAGUAGGGAAUCUUCCACAAUGGACGAAAGUCUGAUGGAGCAACGCCGCGUGAGUGAAGAAGGGUUUCGGCUCGUAAAACUCUGUUGUUAAAGAAGAACAUAUCUGAGAGUAACUGUUCAGGUAUUGACGGUAUUUAACCAGAAAGCCACGGCUAACUACGUGCCAGCAGCCGCGGUAAUACGUAGGUGGCAAGCGUUGUCCGGAUUUAUUGGGCGUAAAGCGAGCGCAGGCGGUUUUUUAAGUCUGAUGUGAAAGCCUUCGGCUCAACCGAAGAAGUGCAUCGGAAACUGGGAAACUUGAGUGCAGAAGAGGACAGUGGAACUCCAUGUGUAGCGGUGAAAUGCGUAGAUAUAUGGAAGAACACCAGUGGCGAAGGCGGCUGUCUGGUCUGUAACUGACGCUGAGGCUCGAAAGUAUGGGUAGCAAACAGGAUUAGAUACCCUGGUAGUCCAUACCGUAAACGAUGAAUGCUAAGUGUUGGAGGGUUUCCGCCCUUCAGUGCUGCAGCUAACGCAUUAAGCAUUCCGCCUGGGGAGUACGGCCGCAAGGCUGAAACUCAAAGGAAUUGACGGGGGCCCGCACAAGCGGUGGAGCAUGUGGUUUAAUUCGAAGCUACGCGAAGAACCUUACCAGGUCUUGACAUACUAUGCAAAUCUAAGAGAUUAGACGUUCCCUUCGGGGACAUGGAUACAGGUGGUGCAUGGUUGUCGUCAGCUCGUGUCGUGAGAUGUUGGGUUAAGUCCCGCAACGAGCGCAACCCUUAUUAUCAGUUGCCAGCAUUAAGUUGGGCACUCUGGUGAGACUGCCGGUGACAAACCGGAGGAAGGUGGGGAUGACGUCAAAUCAUCAUGCCCCUUAUGACCUGGGCUACACACGUGCUACAAUGGAUGGUACAACGAGUUGCGAACUCGCGAGAGUAAGCUAAUCUCUUAAAGCCAUUCUCAGUUCGGAUUGUAGGCUGCAACUCGCCUACAUGAAGUCGGAAUCGCUAGUAAUCGCGGAUCAGCAUGCCGCGGUGAAUACGUUCCCGGGCCUUGUACACACCGCCCGUCACACCAUGAGAGUUUGUAACACCCAAAGUCGGUGGGGUAACCUUUUAGGAACCAGCCGCCUAAGGUGGACAGAUAUUAG
rnacentral:rRNA from 1 species